CCGGAGUGGACGCAUCACUGGUGUUCGGGUUGUCAUGCCAAUGGCAUUGCCCGGUAGCUAAAUGCGGAAGAGAUAAGUGCUGAAAGCAUCUAAGCACGAAACUUGCCCCGAGAUGAGUUCUCCCUGACUCCUUGAGAGUCCUGAAGGAACGUUAAAGACGAUGACGUUGAUAGGUCGGGUGUGUAAGCGUAGCGAUACGUUGAGCUAACCGAUACUAAUGAACCGUGAGGCUUAACCUU
rnacentral:rRNA from 1 species